rnacentral:rRNA from 1 species
AGUGAACGCUGGCGGUAGGCCUAACACAUGCAAGUCGAACGGCAGCACAGUAAGAGCUUGCUCUUACGGGUGGCGAGUGGCGGACGGGUGAGGAAUACAUCGGAAUCUACUUUUUCGUGGGGGAUAACGUAGGGAAACUUACGCUAAUACCGCAUACGACCUACGGGUGAAAGCAGGGGAUCUUCGGACCUUGCGCGAUUGAAUGAGCCGAUGUCGGAUUAGCUAGUUGGCGGGGUAAAGGCCCACCAAGGCGACGAUCCGUAGCUGGUCUGAGAGGAUGAUCAGCCACACUGGAACUGAGACUCGGUCCAGACUCCUACGGGAGGCAGCAGUGGGGAAUAUUGGACAAUGGGCGCAAGCCUGAUCCAGCCAUACCGCGUGGGUGAAGAAGGCCUUCGGGUUGUAAAGCCCUUUUGUUGGGAAAGAAAAGCAGCAGGUUAAUACCCCGCUGUUCUGACGGUACCCAAAGAAUAAGCACCGGCUAACUUCGUG